GGAAUAGCGCCCGUUGAGCUGAGCCGGCCACCGUACAACACCACAAGACCAGCAAAGAGAAUCGGCGGUCAGGCCAUGCAUUUGGGAGAUGGUUUAAAGUUGGAAACUGAACUGCUGGAUGGAAAAACCAAGAUAAUAUUACCUCUAUAUGGUAUGCUGUGUAACUGGAAAUUUAAAAUAUUGACUUCAAAAUUCCUACAUAAAAUUUAUGAUAUUUAGCAAUAUUAUUUACUUGAAAUAAAGUGAUAUUUAGAUACAUUGAAAAA